rnacentral:rRNA from 1 species
GAUUUUAAUUGAAUGCUAAGAGAAUGGAUUAACGAAAAAUGACUUUUUUAAAUUCAAUAAUUGAAUUUAUUUUUAUUUGUGAGGAAACAAUAAUAAAUAUUAAGGACAAGAAGACCCUAAGAAUUUAAAAAGAAUUAAUAUUUGAAUCAAAAUUUAUAUCUUUUUAAUUGGGGCGAUUAAGAAAUAUUAAUAACUUUCUUUACAAUACCAAAAUGAACCGUUAAUAGUGGUAAUAUGAUAAAAAUACUCUAGGGAUAACAGCGUAAUAAUUUUUGAUAGUUCAUAUAGACAAAAUAGUUUGCGACCUCGAUGUUGGAUUAGGAUACUUUUUUAAUGAAGAAGUUAAAAUAAGGAGUUUG